rnacentral:rRNA from 1 species
CCUACGGGCGGCAGCAGUGGGGAAUAUUGGACAAUGGGGGGAACCCUGAUCCAGCCAUGCCGCGUGUGUGAAGAAGGCCCUCGGGUUGUAAAGCACUUUCAGUGAGGAAGAACGCCUGGUGGUUAAUACCCAUCAGGAAAGACAUCACUCACAGAAGAAGCACCGGCUAACUCCGUGCCAGCAGCCGCGGUAAUACGGAGGGUGCGAGCGUUAAUCGGAAUUACUGGGCGUAAAGCGCGCGUAGGUGGCUUGAUAAGCCGGUUGUGAAAGCCCCGGGCUCAACCUGGGAACGGCAUCCGGAACUGUCAAGCUAGAGUGCAGGAGAGGAAGGUAGAAUUCCCGGUGUAGCGGUGAAAUGCGUAGAGAUCGGGAGGAAUACCAGUGGCGAAGGCGGCCUUCUGGACUGACACUGACACUGAGGUGCGAAAGCGUGGGUAGCAAACAGGAUUAGAUGCCCUGGUAGUC